rnacentral:misc_RNA from 1 species
CGUGUCCCUUUAUCUCUCUCA